rnacentral:lncRNA from 10 species
CUUGGAUAAAACUGUGCAGAUUACUUGGAAUUUCAACAGCUUUUCAGGGGCAUUUACGUACAGCCUUGAUUUUUAUAAUACUUCAUGCCUUGUAACCAGCAAUAAAACUGACCACUAUUUGUAAAAAAUAAAGCUCAAAGACUCCUCUGAUAAUACCAGAUAAUAGAUACUCAUCUGCUCUGAACUAAAGGAUCACUGAGCAGAACCCAAAUCUAGCCCGCAGCUGGAGGAAGAAGCCCUCCUCUUGGCUUUAUGACAAGAUCAGGUGAUGCUCAUGACUUCAAUACAUGGACUGGCCACUAAAAAAGGAUUAAGACCACCUACUAAAGGGUUAGGGUGGUAUGGUGCCACCCCAAAACAGGAACCAGGCUGAGGACGCAGCAAGCUUGGUGUGAUGCCAGAAACACAAGAGAGCAAGUGGAAGCCUGGCAUACCUCUUAAGUCCUAGUUUGAAACAGGAGUGCAACAGCCAUCUUGUGAGCAUGAAGAUGAAAGCCCCACACUGAGGAUGACAGCAUGGGAAGAUAAGACGUGCCUAGUGACAUUCCAAACCUCUGUAAAGGCCUGGGACUACCUACUUCUGAACAUCUUCUUAUGUGAGAAAAAUAAACCCACAUUUGGUUAAGUCUCCACUUGAGGUUUAAAAUAGAUAGCCA